rnacentral:miRNA from 1 species
GAGGGUUGGGUGGAGGCUUUCC